AGUAAUUAAGAUUAGACAUUCAUGAGGAUGGUGGGGAGUGAGCUGAGCAGCUUGUGUGGAGCAUUUUGAAUAGACUGAUGUACAAAACAACUGUGGGAUGGUAAGUUACAUUUCUCUUUCAGGAAGAGGAAAAAAGGGAUCAGAUGUCCACUCACAAAGAAAAAUAGUAAGGAUAGAAGUGAAGCCCUGAAGAAAGAGGAAAACUCUUCAAUGAUCUACCAAGUGCCACGAGGAGUGUUUUGCUGACAAUUAUCUACUCCUCUUUCCAAAGUGCUGUAUGGAUGAAGAAGUCUUGAGGCUACUGUAAGAAUAAGACUGAAAGCCACAGGCAGGAGGCUUAAAUCCAAAACUUGAGAACAUCAGAGAACUCCUGACUCCAGGAAGCAUUAACCGAAAAGAGACCAUCCAAAAGCCUCCAUACCUACGCUGAAACCAAGCUCCACCCAAGAGCCAACAAGUUUCAGAGCAAGACAUACCACGCUAAUUCUCCAGCAAUGCAGGAACAUAGCCCUGAGCAUUAAAAUACAGGCUGCCCAAAGUCACACCAAACCCAUAGACACCUCAAA